GAUGAACGCUGGCGGCGUGCCUAACACAUGCAAGUCGAGCGAUCUUCUUCGGAAGAGAGCGGCGGACGGGUGAGUAACGCGUGGGUAACCUGCCUCAUACACAUGGAUAACAUACCGAAAGGUAUGCUAAUACAAGAUGAUAUAAGAGAUUCGCAUGGAUUUCUUAUCAAAGCUUUUGCGGUAUGAGAUGGACCCGCGUCUGAUUAGCUAGUUGGUAAGGUAAUGGCUUACCAAGGCUUCGAUCAGUAGCCGACCUGAGAGGGUGAUCGGCCACAUUGGAACUGAGACACGGUCCAAACUCCUACGGGAGGCAGCAGUGGGGAAUAUUGCACAAUGGGCGAAAGCCUGAUGCAGCAACGCCGCGUGAGCGAUGAAGGCCUUCGGGUCGUAAAGCUCUGUCCUCAAGGAAGAUAAUGACGGUACUUGAGGAGGAAG
rnacentral:rRNA from 1 species